rnacentral:tRNA from 1 species
GGCAGGUUGCCCGAGCGGCCAAUGGGAGCGGACUGUAAAUCCGUCGCGAAAGCUUCAGAGGUUCGAAUCCUCUACCUGCCA